rnacentral:rRNA from 1 species
UACGUAGGGUGCGAGCGUUGUCCGGAAUUAUUGGCGUAAAGAGCUCGUAGGCGGUGUGUCGCGUCGGUCGUGAAAACUUGGGGCUUAACCCUGAGCUUGCGGUCGAUACGGGCAUCACUGGAGUUCGGCAGGGGAGACUGGAAUUCCUGGUGUAGCGGUGAAAUGCGCAGAUAUCAGGAGGAACACCGGUGGCGAAGGCGGGUCUCUGGGCCGUAACUGACGCUGAGGAGCGAAAGCGUGGGGAGCGAACAGG